rnacentral:lncRNA from 1 species
GCACUAUCCUACAUUCGGAAAAGCUGAAUUUCACUUCUGUUCACCAAGCCUAUGAAAAGCCUAUUCUCUGCCUAAGCCUGAAAAUAGGUUUACGUGAGGCUUACAAAGUGAGUAAGCCUUGUGUGGAUCUCUCUAUACGCGGGGAAACAUUUCAUCCAGAGUGCACAUAGAAGCAAAAAGAAAGGAGACAGGAGCAGGCUCGUUCAUGAUGAUCACCUGCUAAGGAUGUCAUCAAAUCAGUAAUGUAGUGUGCCUGUUUACUGUAUAUCACAAUUUGUGACCCUUCUAUAACCUCACUUCUGCACUGAACACAAGCAAUGAACCCGUGACCUCUCAGAAGAAUGGGCUCAGCAGGCAGCUGAAGGAAGAUUGGGCUAAAGGACAACUGUGUAUCCUGCAGUCUGUAUACAGAUUUGAAAUCUGCUUUGGACAUCUGCAGCACACAGUUUGGCAGAUCUUGGGACUUUGCCUUGUGGCAGAAAAUGCCAAAAAGGAAUGCAAGAUUAAUUCUACUCAUGGCUGCCGCAGCACCUUAAUCUGUGUGUGUCUGGGUGAAGAAUACUGUGUUCAACUUCCCUUUCCUGGAUGUUGCACUGUGUUGAUCACUGCCCUGCCUCUGCAAAUCCUAUUUGAAAAUCUCAUUUGCAGCAUAACUGACAACAAAGGCGUUACAUGGUGUAUGCCCUGCAUAUUCUGCAGACUACUCCUUGUCUUUUUUCAUAUGCAAAGCAUGCAUCAGCCACAUCCAUGCUAUCUCCUAAAGCAGCCAUUCUGAAACCCAAUCUGGGGACAGUGCAGACUAAAUAAAAUUUCAUUUUGAUUUGGCCUCCCGCUGAGA